GAACUUUCCAGAGAUGGAUUGGUGCCUUCGGGAACUGUGAGACAGGUGCUGCAUGGCUGUCGUCAGCUCGUGUUGUGAAAUGUUGGGUUAAGUCCCGCAACGAGCGCAACCCUUAUCCUUUGUUGCCAGCGGUUAGGCCGGGAACUCAAAGGAGACUGCCAGUGAUAAACUGGAGGAAGGUGGGGAUGACGUCAAGUCAUCAUGGCCCUUACGACCAGGGCUACACACGUGCUACAAUGGCGCAUACAAAGAGAAGCGACCUCGCGAGAGCAAGCGGACCUCAUAAAGUGCGUCGUAGUCCGGAUUGGAGUCUGCAACUCGACUCCAUGAAGUCGGAAUCGCUAGUAAUCGUGGAUCAGAAUGCCACGGUGAAUACGUUCCCGGGCCUUGUACACACCGCCCGUCACACCAUGGGAGUGGGUUGCAAAAGAAGUAGGUAGCUUAACCUUCGGGAGGGCGCUUACCACUUUGUGAUUCAUGACUGGGGUGAAGUCGUAACAAGGUAACCGUAGGGGAACCUGCGGUUGGAUCACCUCCUU
rnacentral:rRNA from 1 species